rnacentral:rRNA from 1 species
CCUACGGGAGGCAGCAGUGGGGAAUUUUCCGCAAUGGGCGAAAGCCUGACGGAGCAAUACCGCGUGAGGGAUGAAGGCCUAUGGGUUGUAAACCUCUUUUUUCAGGGAGGAACAAAUGACGUGUACCUGAAGAAUAAGCAUCGGCUAACUCCGUGCCAGCAGCCGCGGUAAGACGGGGGAUGCAAGUGUUAUCCGGAAUCACUGGGCGUAAAGCGUCUGUAGGUGGUUAAAUAAGUCAACUGUUAAAUCUUGAGGCUUAACUUCAAAAUCGCAGUCGAAACUGUUUGACUAGAGUAUAGUAGGGGUAAAGGGAAUUUCCAGUGGAGCGGUGAAAUGCGUAGAUAUUGGAAAGAACACCGAUGGCGAAGGCACUUUACUGGGCUAUUACUAACACUGAGAGACGAAAGCUAGGGUAGCAAAUGGGAUUAGAUACCCCAGUAGUCCUAGCUGUAAACAAUGGAUACUAGAUGUUGAACAGAUCGACCUGUGCAGUAUCAAAGCUAACGCGUUAAGUAUCCCGCCUGGGAAGUAUGCUCGCAAGAGUGAAACUUAAAGAGAUGAACGGUNUGAGAGUGCGAGACGACGACGAGGAGAGG